CAAUAGCGUAUAUUAAAGUUGUUGCGGUAGAAAAGCUCGUAGUUGGAUUUCUGUUGAGAGCGACCGGUCCAUACCAUGUAUGCGUAUCUGGCUUGCUCUCGGCAUCCUCUCGAUAGACGUUACUGCGCUUGAUUGCAUGGUGCGGAUCUCGGGACUUUUACUUUGAGGAAAUUAGAGUGUUCACGGCAGGCUUUCGCCAGAAUACAUUAGCAUGGAAUAAUACUAUAGGAUCUUGGUUCUAUUUUGUUGGUUUCUAGAAUUGAGAUAAUGAUUAAUAGGGACAAUUGGGGGCAUUCGUAUCAACACGUCAGAGGUGGAAUUCUUGGAUUGUGUUGCGACGAACUACUGCGAAAGCAUUUGCCAAGGAUGUUUUCAUUGA
rnacentral:rRNA from 1 species